CGCCAGCAGCCGCGGUAAUACGUAGGAGGCGAGCGUUGUCCGGAUUUACUGGGCGUAAAGCGCGCGCAGGCGGCACUGUAAGUAAGGUGUGAAAUCUCCCUGCUCAACGGGGAGGGUGCACUUUAGACUGCAGAGCUAGAGGACGGUAGAGGGGGGUGGAAUUGCUGGUGUAGCGGUGAAAUGCGUAGAGAUCAGCAGGAACACCCGUGGCGAAGGCGGCCCCCUGGGCCGAACCUGACGCUGAGGCGCGAAGGCUAGGGGAGCGAACGGGAUUAGAUACCCCGGUAGUCCUAGCAGUAAACGAUGGCCACUAGGUGUGGGGGGUGUUGACCCCUUCCGUGCCGAAGCUAACGCAUUAAGUGGCCCGCCUGGGGAGUACGGUCGCAAGACUAAAACUUAAAGGAAUUGGCGGGGGA
rnacentral:rRNA from 1 species